rnacentral:rRNA from 1 species
UACAGGGGGUGCAAACGUUGCUCGGAAUUACUGGGCGUAAAGGGCGCGCAGGCGGCCAACUAAGUCAGACGUGAAAUCCCUCGGCUCAACCGGGGAACUGCGUCUGAUACUGGAUGGCUUGAAUUCGGGAGAGGGAUGCGGAAUUCCAGGUGUAGCGGUGAAAUGCGUAGAUAUCUGGAGGAACACCGGUGGCGAAGGCGGCAUCCUGGACCGAGAUUGACGCUGAUGCGCGAAAGCCAGGGGAGCAAACGGG